UAAUACGGAGGGAGCGAGCGUUGUUCGGAAUCACUGGGCGUAAAGCGUACGUAGGCGGUCCUGCAAGUCAGGAGUGAAAGCCCAGGGCUUAACCUUGGAAUUGCUCUUGAAACUGCAAGACUAGAGUCCCGGAGAGGUUGGCGGAAUUCCGAGUGUAGAGGUGAAAUUCGCAGAUAUUCGGAGGAACACCAGUGGCGAAAGCGGCCAACUGGACGGGAACUGACGCUGAGGUACGAAAGCGUGGGGAGCAAACAGG
rnacentral:rRNA from 2 species